GGCAGAGAAACUGGCUCUGGGUGGUGGCUCAGUCUGGGUGGCUCGCUCCUGAGAUGUCAAAGAUAAAAACAGUAGAUACAUCAAUAAAUGAUACUUUCUACCACCACCGCUCUCGUGGCAGCCAUUAGUCAUGGUUGAUUUGAGGCAGAAUCAAUGACCCCAUGUGUG